CCUCCGGGUCUGCCCGCGCCCGGGAGCCGGCGGCCAGGGGACCCGCUGCCAAGGAGGGGGCGGCGGCGGGGCCGGGAACGCGCGGCCCGGCCUGGCUGAGGAACCAGCAGGCCCCCACAGGCCCUCGUACAGUGCCUCCAGGGACUUAAACCUGCCGCAGCCAUGUGAUUACCCUGAUCUUUCUGCUGGGAGAUGAGCAAAGCUCGGAGAGGGACCAGAUCUCAGCAGAGACCAAACCAGCAGCAGUUCCUGAACACCCACCCCCCAGUGCUUCCAGAAGUGCAACAUGGACCAACCUGUGAGCAUUUGCUCUUCCUCAGGACUUUCCGGGUAGCACAGUGGUUAAGAAUCCACCUGCCAAUGCAGGGGACACGGGUUCGAUCCCUGGUCUCGGAAGAUCCUACAUGCCGAGGAGCAACUAAGCUCAUGCGCCACAACUACUGAGCCUGUGCUCUAGAGCCUGCGUGCCACAACUACUGAGCCUGCACGCCCUAGAGCCCACGCACCAGAACUACUGAGCUCAUGUGCUGCAACUACUGAAGCCCAUGCGCUCUAGGGCCUGAGUGCCGCAACUGCCGAGCCCACAUGCUGCAACUACUGAAACCUGCGCAGUAGUUGUGGCACACAGGCUUAGUUGCUCCACAAGAAGAGAGCCUGUGCUCCGCAACAAGAGAAGCCACCGCAAUGAGAAGCCUGUGCACCUCAAUGAAGAGUAGCCCCCGCUCACCGCAACUAAAGAAAGCCCGCACAGCAAUGAAGACCCAACGCAGCCAAAAAUUAAAAAAAAAAAAAAUUCAAAAAAAAAUUUUUUUUAAUUGAAAAGAAAUCUUUCACCAAGAUCUUGAUUAGUGGUAGAGCUGUUAGGAACUGGUGUCUGACUUCAGAGUAGCAUUUAGCUGCGGUAUGAGGCUGCCUGCAUGCUGGCACCCAGUAGGUACCUCUGGUUCCCGAGUAGCGAAAUGGGUGAGGUGGGUUAGAUGAGAUAGGCAGACAUGGUCAAACUGGCGUGGCCCCAUGAUGUAUCUGGUGCAGCCAGCCAGGAGAGCUGCCAAGGAAUCCUCCUAAGAAGCUUAAUGAGAAAGCCCUGCUCUGAUCUGCCAGAGGGGAAGUCCUGACGCAGUGGCUAUGGGCUAUAGAGAGGGCAGACAGACUCUGAGCUCUGAGCAGCAGUGUUUGGGGGCUCCUUAGCUGUUAUCAAGGACCUCCUGACUCUGAGUUCAGUAGAUUUUUUUCAGUCUUCAUCUUCCUUGAGUAAUUCUCAGCAGCAUUUGACUUGUAGGUGAUCAUCUCUUCUUGAAGGCCUCUCUUUCAUUGCUUACACAUUUUGAUGUACAAGGCUCUAUUUGGAUAUUAAGUGUUCCAGUACUUCAGGACUCAGCCUCAUGCUCUCUUCUCAAACUGUACUGUGUCCAGAAGGAUCUUUUUGAAAAACAAAUCUGAAUUUGUCACCCUUCUGCUUAAAACACCUCAGCGGCUUCUCCUAUUCUUCAGAAUAAAAUUUCAAGUUCUCAGCAAGGCCUUUGAGUCUCAAUCCAGUCUGCCCAUGCUGGCCUCUUCUAGCUUCAUCUUCCACCACAUUCCCCUUUCAUUCUCUGAGCUUCAUCCACACUGCUCUCCACCUGCCUCAGCUGUACUCUGCCACCCCCUACAUGUUCUCACUGCCUGGGAUGCUCUUCCUCCUCUUUGCCUAGCUAACGUCUCCUGUGCUCAGUUAAAGCACCAGUGUCUUCAGAAAAGGUGACAGCCAGGUCAAAAUGCCCUGUGACAGACACUUACCUGUGGCCCUCCCUCAGGUGUUAAUUGCAAUUGGGGUUUCAUAUUCACUGGAAUAAUGCAUUGGAAGCUCAAUGGCUGUGUCUCUUUUGCUCAUGAUUGCAUUGUAGGGUUUAGCACAAUGCUUGGCUGUAGUAGGCUGUAGGUAUUUUAUGUAACAAAUGAAAUAAAAGCUUAGUUUAUUUAACAAAACACACUAUUUAAACCUUGAAGAAACUGAAAAAGAAGUUAAGUAUGGUCAUGCAGCUAGUAUAUGGCAGAGUGGGACCUAGAUAUGGCUUCAGUGUCUGUGGUGUUAACCCCCUGCACUAUGCUAUCCCUCCACCUGUUAAGUACUUUCUGAAAGUAAAGAGAAAUGGAAGAAGGGAGAAAGUAUGUGAGAGAAAGAAAGGGACUUCCUCUCUCUCCACUCUAGAAAUACAGAGUGGGAAAUUAAGAAUGAAAUUACAUUUCACCAAAAAGGACAUAUGAAUGGCUGAUGAGCACAUGAAAAGAUUAUGAAAAGAUUAUGACUAAUGUUGUUAGUCAUAACAUUAGUCAUCAGGAAAAUGAAAAUCAAAACCAGAAUGACACCAAUGAACAAUCUAAAAAGGAAAUUAAGAAAAUUCCAUUUACAGUAGCAUCCAAAAUAAUAGAAUACCUAGGAAUAAAUUUAACCAAGGAAGUAAAAGAUUUAUACACAGAAUACUACAAAACAAAAGAAAUUAGAGACAUAAAUAAAUGGAAAGACAUCUUGUGUUUAUGGAUUAGAAGACUUAAUAUCUUUAAGAUGGCAAUACUACUGAAAGCAAUUUGCAGAUUCAGUGUGAUCUCUAUCAAAGUUCCAAUGGCUUUUCUUUUUUGCAGAAAUGGAAAAGUUGAUCCUCAUAUUCAUAUAGAAUUGCAAGGAUCCCUCCCAGUACCUUAGUGUGUUCACCAACUGGAAGCUCUCUGAACUCCAUAAUUUAGGGAUUUUUAUGGAAGCACCAUCAUGUAGGCAUUAUUGAUUAAAUCAUUGGCCAUUGGUGAUUUGAUCUCAAGCCCCUCUCCCCUCUCGGGGUGGGGCUGAACCUUCCAACCCUGUAAUCCUGGGGUUUUUUUGGCAAGCAGCCCCCCUCUUGAAACUAUAUGGGCAUCUUGCUAGCAUACAAAAGACACUCAUCACUCCAGAGAUUCCAGGGGUUUUAGAGAAGCUAUGUACCAAGAACAGGAGAUAAAGACCAAAUAUAUAUUUCUUACUGUAUCACACUACUCAACAAUAAAAAGCAGCAAACAUGCAACAACAUGGAUGUAUGUAAAAAAUCCAUCUAAGUGAAGGAAGCUAAGUGAAAUAAACCUGAUGUAAAAGACAACAUAUUGCACUAUUCUAGUAACAUGAAGUUUCUAGGAAAGUCAAAACCAUAGAGACAGAAAGCAGAUCAUUGUUUGCCUAGGGUUGGGAGUGAGCAAGGAUUGACUAAAGGGGUACAAAAGACCUUUCUGAGAGAUGGACACUGGAUUGUGUAAUGUUGGCACAACUCUACGAAUUUAUUUCAAAAAAAUCACCAAGCUAUA